GCCAGGUGUGGUGGCACACACCUGUAAUCCCAGCUACUCAGGAGGCUGAGGCAGGAGGAUCACUUGAGCCCAGGAGUUGGAGGCUGCUGUGAGACAACCUCACCUCUGUACUCCAGCCUGGGCAACCAAGGGAGACCCUGUCUCUA
rnacentral:sRNA from 1 species